GGAUAUUGUGAAGGGGAUUCAUGGCAAUGUGUCCUUUACUGUAAUAACUUGUAAAAAUUUAAUCCUUCGCUGUAUACUUUGAUCACUCCGCCAGUUAUUCAAACCUAUAUUUCACUGAGGAAACACGGGCAGCUCCGUAGAAGUGGUCAGAGCUCAAACUCUAGUCCUAGGGCCUGGGGGCGGGGUAGGGAGACACUGCCUGCAAACAUUUAAGAAAGAAAAAGUGGAAACUCACCCAACGUAAAAGAGGAAGCUGUGCAGAGACUAGAGCGGGGUGAGGGUGCAUAGCACCGGAAAACGGGUGAAAGGGUGACAGCAGGGAGGAAAAAUCAAGAACAGUUUUCAUGGGGGCCGCUGGGAGGCGCCACCGUGCUCAUCACGGAGGGAGUCAGAAGAGCUUCCGGUCCCUGGGUUCGGACUUCCGGUUCUUACCUCUGGGUACCCAGCGAAGCUUUUGAAUUGAAAGGAAUUGCUCUGGACCCCUGACCUGAGCCUUGUCCCCCUUUCUCCCCGAGACCUGUGCUUUUUCCCAGCAAUGGGAAAGGUUUGUCCUGGCUCCACUGAGCCCAUCCUCUGGGCCAUAGCAUCCUCUCCGUCUGCUGAAGGCUCAGCCUGGCCUGGCAUCAAAGCCCUUGCAGGGUGGGUGCUGCUGCUCUUCCAGCAGCAGCUCCGGAAGGCAGUCCCUUGUGGAGUCGGCAUCUAUGAGCACUGGGGCCAAACAGUGGGACCCAGCUGAGCACAAUCAGCCCGGUGCUCAGUAGCAGCAGCUGUGCCAUCACGCAGAAGUGACAGGACUUCAAAGAGGCUCAGGACAUGGGGCAGCCUCUGAUGGGUCAAGGGACCCAGGCCAGAGCAAAGCAGGCGGCAGGUCCAGCUUCCCGCUAUCCCCCAAACCUGGAAUCGCGCUGCCUGGCUGUCUGGAGCUGCCCCCCUGGAAAUGACCCAGGACAUCACAACAGAUCUGAGAUAAAUUGCUGACCCUCUGACCACAAAUGAUCAUUUAACUUCCCCAA